rnacentral:tRNA from 1 species
UCCCUGCUGGUCAAGUGGCUAAGACUCUGAGCUUCCACUGCAGGGGCACAGGUUCGAUUCCUGGUCUGGGAA